UAAAGGGUGCAUUUUGAAAACUGCCCGGUCUUAAGCAUUAGGAGAGGCAGCAAACUUUUGGUAGGACAAUCUUGUGUACACUAGUUUAGUGUGGAAACUGUUCCUCUAAGCAGCGUCCCCGUUAAGCCUAUAAAUACAAACAUUCUUCGGCGCAGACAGCCAAUGGAUCGUGUGGACACCGGCAUGUUUCUAAUUUCACCAGAAGAGCCAACGAUUGCUGCUCUGUACUGACAGAGAGCAUCAACAGAGCACUGUGACACGAGAUAACUACAUCCCGGACACCCCAUCAUCUGUCGAAGCACGGAGCGGCGCAGGGAUAAUGCACGCUGACUUGAGGAACACGCACAUGAGAAGCUUCUCGGCGCAGGGGACCAGGAUCUCCCAGGUGUAGCCGGUGAGGCGCAGCAGGCGGGGAGGCCAUGUGGGCGACAGGUGGAGGAUGAGGCGGGAGGCGGCCACGCACGCGGCCGCCAC